rnacentral:rRNA from 1 species
GCCUAUCAUGCAAGUCGAGCGAACAGAAGGGAGCUUGCUCCCGGAUGUUAGCGGCGGACGGGUGAGUAACACGUGGGUAACCUGCCUGUAAGACUGGGAUAACUCCGGGAAACCGGAGCUAAUACCGGAUAGUUCCUUGAACCGCAUGGUUCAAGGAUGAAAGACGGUUUCGGCUGUCACUUACAGAUGGACCCGCGGCGCAUUAGCUAGUUGGUGGGGUAAUGGCUCACCAAGGCGACGAUGCGUAGCCGACCUGAGAGGGUGAUCGGCCACACUGGGACUGAGACACGGCCCAGACUCCUACGGGAGGCAGCAGUAGGGAAUCUUCCGCAAUGGACGAAAGUCUGACGGAGCAACGCCGCGUGAGUGAUGAAGGUUUUCGGAUCGUAAAGCUCUGUUGUUAGGGAAGAACAAGUGCGAGAGUAACUGCUCGCACCUUGACGGUACCUAACCAGAAAGCCACGGCUAACUACGUGCCAGCAGCCGCGGUAAUACGUAGGUGGCAAGCGUUGUCCGGAAUUAUUGGGCGUAAAGGGCUCGCAGGCGGUUUCUUAAGUCUGAUGUGAAAGCCCCCGGCUCAACCGGGGAGGGUCAUUGGAAACUGGGAAACUUGAGUGCAGAAGAGGAGAGUGGAAUUCCACGUGUAGCGGUGAAAUGCGUAGAGAUGUGGAGGAACACCAGUGGCGAAGGCGACUCUCUGGUCUGUAACUGACGCUGAGGAGCGAAAGCGUGGGGAGCGAACAGGAUUAGAUACCCUGGUAGUCCACGCCGUAAACGAUGAGUGCUAAGUGUUAGGGGGUUUCCGCCCCUUAGUGCUGCAGCUAACGCAUUAAGCACUCCGCC